GAUGAACGCUAGCGAUAGGCUUAACACAUGCAAGUCGAGGGGCAGCAUGGUCUUAGCUUGCUAAGGCUGAUGGCGACCGGCGCACGGGUGCGUAACGCGUAUGCAACUUGCCUCACAGAGGGGGAUAACCCGUCGAAAGACGGACUAAUACCGCGUACACUCUAUGUUGGGCAUCCAAUGUAGAGGAAAUGAAAUUCGCUGUGAGAUAGGCAUGCGUCCCAUUAGCUAGUUGGUGAGGUAACGGCUCACCAAGGCGACGAUGGGUAGGGGAACUGAGAGGUUGAACCCCCACACUGGUACUGAGACACGGACCAGACGCCUACGGGAGGCAGCAGUGAGGAAUAGUGGUCAAUGGGCGAGAGCCUGAACCAGCCAAGUCGCGUGAAGGAUGACUGUCUUAUGGAUUGUAAACUUCUUUUAUACGGGAAGAACAAGAGUCACGUGUGGCUCCCUGCAUGUACCGUAUGAAUAAGCAUCGGCUAACUCCGUG
rnacentral:rRNA from 1 species